CUCCCCUCCCCGCGGCUCCUCGGCUUCUGCUGCGGGGAGACAGGCCCUGCCUGGGCCGGGAAGAGCAAAUUUGGGUGGCUAAAAAAAAAGCUGGCCCUGUCAGUGUGAAAACGAACAGGCAGUUCCUUCUGACUCCGUGGAAGGUUACCUUGUUCCUGAUGAGGUUAGUCAUGAAAGAAAUAUCAAACAGGAUCACAAGGGAUCCUGCAGCCAGCUCUCCUGAUGGUCAGUGCCUUUCACCAGGUGCUUUCGAGAACAAGAAACUCUUCAGUGAGAUGUCUCGAAGUUGCUUCCCUGCUUAAAGAACCUAAAAAGCCAACGUUUCUACUUGACCUAUGGAAUUGAAUUGGUACAAACAGAAACAAAGCUGAGAG
rnacentral:lncRNA from 1 species